rnacentral:rRNA from 1 species
AGUGGAUGGGGAGCAACCUAGUUGUGCGUGUGUAAAGGUAGUGCCAAGAAAAGCGAUGAUCAUGUCGAAAAUCAAUUCCCGGUACCCGAAACCGACACAGGUGGGCAAGUAGAGAAUACUAAGGGGCGCGAGGUAACUCUCUCCAAGGAACUCGGCAAAAUGACCCCGUAACUUAGGGAGAAGGGGUGCCACCGAGAGGUGGUCGCAGUGAAGAGGCCCAGGCGACUGUUUAGCAAAAACAUAGGUCUCUGCAAACUCGAAAGAGGAGGUAUAGGGGCUGACGCCUGCCCAGUGCCGGAAGGUUAAAGAAGUUGGUCAGUUUUAGGAUGAAGCUAGCGACUGAAGCCCCGGUGAACGGCGGCCGUAACUAUAACGGUCCUAAGGUAGCGAAAUUCCUUGUCGGGUAAGUUCCGACCCGCACGAAAGGCGUAACGAUCUGGGCGCUGUCUCGGAGAGAGGCUCGGCGAAAUAGGAUUGUCUGUGAAGAUACGGACUACCUGCAUUUGGACAGAAAGACCCUAUGAAGCUUUACUAUAGCUUGGAAUUGUGUUCGGGCUUCCUGUGCGCAGGAUAGGUGGGAGGCGUAGAAGGUAUUCUUGUGGGGAUACUGGAGCCAACGGUGAGAUACCACUCUCAGGAGGCUAGAAUUCUAACUUAAUUAAGGACAGUUUCAGGUGGGUAGUUUGACUGGGGCGGUCGCCUCCAAAAAGGUAACGGAGGCGUACAAAGGUUCCCUCAGACUGGUUGGAAAUCAGUCGAAGAGUGCAAAGGCAGAAGGGAGCUUGACUGCGAGAAGUACAGUUCGAGCAGGGUGGAAACACGGUCUUAGUGAUCCGACGGUGCUGUGUGGAAGGGCCGUCGCUCAACGGAUAAAAGUUACUCUAGGAUAACAGGCUGAUCUCCCCCAAGAGUUCACAUCGACGGGGAGGUUUGGCACCUCGAUGUCGGCUCAUCGCAACCUGGGGCGGAAGUACGUCCCAAGGGUUGGGCUGUUCGCCCAUUAAAGCGGUACGUGAGCUGGGUUCAGAACGUCGUGAGACAGUUCGGUCCAUAUCCGAUGUAGGCGUGAGAAUAUUGAGAGGAGCCUUCCUUAGUACGAGAGGACCGGGAAGGACGCACCGCUGGUGUACCUGUUAUGAUGCCAAUUGUAAACGCAGGGUAGCCAAGUGCGGAGAGGAUAACCGCUGAAAGCAUCUAAGUGGGAAGCCCACCUCAAGAUGAGUAUUCUGGUGUAAGGUCACGGGAAGACGACCCGUAAAUAGGCACGAGGUGGAAGUGCAGAGAUGUAUGAAGCCGAAGUGUACUAAUAGACCGUCGGCUUGAC